AGUGAACGCUGGCGGUAGGCCUAACACAUGCAAGUCGAACGGCAGCACAGUAAGAGCUUGCUCUUACGGGUGGCGAGUGGCGGACGGGUGAGGAAUACAUCGGAAUCUACUUUUUCGUGGGGGUUAACGUAGGGAAACUUACGCUAAUACCGCAUACGACCUACGGGUGAAAGCAGGGGAUCUUCGGACCUUGCGCGAUUGAAUGAGCCGAUGUCGGAGUAGCUAGUUGGCGGGGUAAAGGCCCACCAAGGCGACGAUCCGUAGCUGGUCUGAGAGGAUGGUCACCCACACUGGAGCGUGGACACGGUCCAUGGGCCUACGAUACGCAGCAGUGGGGAAUAGUAGACAGUAGGCGCAAACCUGGUCCAGCCAUACCGCGUGGGUGAAGGAAGCCUUCGGGUUGUGAAGCCCUUUUGUGGGGAAAGAAAAGCAGCAGGUUAAUACCCCGCUGUUCUGACGGUACCCAAAAAAUAAGCACCGGCUAACUUCGUG
rnacentral:rRNA from 1 species